GGGAACUAGAUUCUAGUUUUACUCGUUCCACAAGCAAUAAUAUAAUAUACCUGAAACACGAUCACAAGGCAUAAAUAAGAAAUAGAAACCAAGUUAAAAACACCAAUCAUCAACUGCCAUCCAUCAUCAACCAAUCAAAAGCAUCAAACGGAGAGGGCUGGCUACCGCAGCCAGAACGCCGGCCAACUGAGACUGUUCAAGGCUUCCACAGAAUGGUUGUUUCGGCGAUCAUGGAUGUGACGACGUAAGGAUCCAUGUUUGAAGCUGGCCUUCGAUCCUCGAAAUAGCCUUUGCCGGCCUUUUCAGUGUCGCGGCCAACACGGACAGAGGCUCCUCUGUUUGCAACUCCCCAAGAGAAUGUGUUGAUAUCGGCAGUCUCAUGGCGGCCAGUCAACCUCCUCUCGUUGCCUUCUCCAUAGGCAGCAAUGUGCUCUUUAUGGCGCAAACCCAAUUUUUCGAUGGCCUUCUUGAUCACAUCAAUACCACCAUCGUUUCUCAUUGAUUUGGUGCUGUAAUUGGUGUGAGCACCAGCACCAUUCCAAUCGCCCUGAAUUGGCUUUGGGUCGAAGGUGAGAACGACUCCUGCAAUUUCUGUGAUCCUCUCGAGGAUGUAUCGGGACAUCCAUAGCUGAUCACCAGAAGCAAUACCAACGGCAGGACCGACUUGGUAUUCCCACUGUCCGGGCAUGACUUCACCGUUGAUUCCACUAAUGUUGAUUCCGGCGUAAAGACAGGCCUUAUAGUGAGCGUCCACAAUAUCUCGACCGAAGGCCUUGUCCGCUCCUGUACCACAGUAGUAAGGACCCUGUGGGCCUGGGAAGCCACCGACAGGCCAACCGAGGGGCCAGUGAAUAUCCUUUUGGAGGAGAGUGUAUUCCUGUUCAAUUCCAUACCAAGGUUCCUCGGCAACGACGUCAGGGUUGCUAAAAAUCUUGGCGGCGUUGAAUCUCUUGUUGGUGGGAAUCGGCUCGCCAGCUGGCGUAUAGGCAUCACACAUCACC
rnacentral:misc_RNA from 1 species